GAUAAACGCUGGCGGCGUGCUUAACACAUGCAAGUCGAACGAAGUUUUUCCUUCGGGAGAAACUUAGUGGCGGACGGGUGAGUAACGCGUGGGUAACCUGCCCUGUACAGGGGGACAACAGCUGGAAACGGCUGCUAAUACCGCAUAAGCACUUAGCACUGCAUGGUGCAUAGGGAAAAGGAGCAAUCCGGUACAGGAUGGACCCGCGUCUGAUUAGCCAGUUGGCAGGGUAACGGCCUACCAAAGCGACGAUCAGUAGCCGAUCUGAGAGGAUGUACGGCCACAUUGGGACUGAGACACGGCCCAGACUCCUACGGGAGGCAGCAGUGGGGAAUAUUGCACAAUGGAGGAAACUCUGAUGCAGCGACGCCGCGUGAGUGAAGAAGUAUUUCGGUAUGUAAAGCUCUAUCAGUAGGGAAGAAAAUGACGGUACCUGACGAAGAAGCACCGGCUAAAUACGUG
rnacentral:rRNA from 1 species